CAGGUCAGCAUACUGUGGUGAAUACGUUCCCGGGCCUUGUACACACCGCCCGUCACACCAUGAGAGUUGAGAAUACCCGAAGCCCAUGUCAAAGUGGUCGAAGGUAGGCUUGAUGAUUGGGGUGAAGUCGUAACAAGGUAGC
rnacentral:rRNA from 1 species